AAGCAGAACAAGAUAUCUCUAUUGGAGAAGGAGCUAACAAACUGCAAAAAAGAUCUGAGUGAGAGGGAGAAGAGGUUAGAUGACGCUCAGCAAGCACAGGCUACUAUGCAGUCAGAGUUCAACAAGCAGAAACAAGAGUUAGAAAAGUUCAAGAGAGCUUAUUCUUCUUUAAAUACGACCAAGAGAAAAUACGAAAAAGAGA